UGGGGAAUAUUGGACAAUGGGCGCAAGCCUGAUCCAGCCAUGCCGCGUGGAUGAUGAAGGCCCUAGGGUUGUAAAGUCCUUUCGACGGGGAAGAUAAUGACGGUACCCGUAGAAGAAGCCCCGGCUAACUUCGUGCCAGCAGCCGCGGUAAUACGAAGGGGGCUAGCGUUGCUCGGAAUCACUGGGCGUAAAGCGCACGUAGGCGGACUCUUAAGUCGGUGGUGAAAUCCUGGAGCUCAACUCCAGAACUGCCUUCGAUACUGAGAGUCUCGAGUCCGAGAGAGGUGAGUGGAACUGCGAGUGUAGAGGUGAAAUUCGUAGAUAUUCGCAAGAACACCAGUGGCGAAGGCGGCUCACUGGCUCGGUACUGACGCUGAGGUGCGAAAGCGUGGGGAGCAAACAGGAUUAGAUACCCUCGUAGUCCCUGAGCGGGCUGGCAAGGCGCAU
rnacentral:rRNA from 1 species